rnacentral:rRNA from 1 species
GAUGAACGCUGGCGGCGUGCCUAAUACAUGCCAGUCGAGCGAACGGACGAGAAGCUUGCUUCUCUGAUGUUAGCGGCGGACGGGUGAGUAACACGUGGAUAACCUACCUAUAAGACUGGGAUAACUUCGGGAAACCGGAGCUAAUACCGGAUAAUAUUUUGAACCGCAUGGUUCAAAAGUGAAAGACGGUCUUGCUGUCACUUAUAGAUGGAUCCGCGCUGCAUUAGCUAGUUGGUAAGGUAACGGCUUACCAAGGCAACGAUGCAUAGCCGACCUGAGAGGGUGAUCGGCCACACGGGAACUGAGACACGGUCCAGACUCCUGCGGGAGGCAGCAGUAGGGAAUCUUCCGCAAUGGACGAGAGCCUGACGGAGCAACGCCGCGUAAGUGAUGAAGGUCUUCGGAUCGUAAAACUCUGUAAUUAGGGAAGAACAUAUGUGUAAGUAACUGUGCACAUCAUGACGGUACCUAGACAGAAAGCCACGGCUAACUCCGUG